UUACAGAUGCUCGGGUACGACAUCAGCUGGGCUGCCUUCAACAUCAUUGAAGUCAUGAGUGCCUCCAAGUUCACAUUCAAGCGUGUCGGCUACCUUGCAGCCUCUCAGUGCUUCCAUGAAGGUACUGACGUCAUCAUGCUGACCACUAACCAGAUCCGAAAGAUCUUGCCAGAGACCUGGCAAAUGACAUCAUGACCCUGAUGUCUCACACGAAGCCAUACAUCAGGAAGAAGGCAGUGCUGAUCAUGUACAAAGUGUUCCUCAAGUACCCUGAGUCACUGCGUCCUGCCUUUCCCCGGCUUAAGGAGAAGCUGGAGGACCCAGACCCAGGGGUGCAGUCUGCAGCUGUCAAUGUCAUCUGUGAGCUAGCGCGCCGAAACCCUAAAAACUACCUGUCUCUGGCUCCACUGUUUUUUAAGCUCAUGACAUCCUCUACCAACAACUGGGUCCUCAUCAAGAUCAUCAAACUG
rnacentral:lncRNA from 1 species